GAUGAAGAACGUAGCGAAAUGCGAUAAGUAAUGUGAAUUGCAGAAUUCAGUGAAUCAUCGAAUCUUUGAACGCACAUUGCGCUCCCUGGUAUUCCGGGGAGCAUGCCUGUUCGAGCGUCAUUACAACCCUCAAGCUCAGCUUGGUGUUGGGCCCCGCCGCCCCGGCGGGCCCUAAAGUCAGUGGCGGUGCCGUCCGGCUCCGAGCGUAGUAAUUCUUCUCGCUCUGGAGGUCCGGUCGUGUGCUCGCCAGCAACCCCCAAUUUUUUUCAGGUUGACCUCGGAUCAGGUAGGGAUACCCGCUGAACUUAAGCAUAUCAAUAAGCGGAGGA
rnacentral:misc_RNA from 1 species